rnacentral:sRNA from 1 species
ACGCCACCUUACCGGGGGGGGAUGAGAACACCCGUCCGGGGUUCGACAACUGGCGCAGCCAGUUGGACAGACGACGAGCUUGCGAGGAGACUGCCCGCAGGGCGAGCGCAGCGAGUCAAUCCCCCCUCACCGCCA